UGCAGUCUGGCUACUUCCUACUGAGAUGGAUGUAGCUAUGAAUUAUCUUGAUGGAAGUGUUGACCAAUGAAGGGUUUACUCACCUUCUCUUUCUCUGGUUGUGAGUGAAAAUCCAGAGGAAGGUAGGCGCCAGCUGAGGUACUGAAAAUGCAAUCACAGGUGAGUAUGAAAUUCUUCAACUGAAAUUGCACUUCUCUUGCCAGGAGU
rnacentral:lncRNA from 1 species